rnacentral:rRNA from 1 species
UACGUAGGGUGCAAGCGUUGUCCGGAAUUAUUGGGCGUAAAGAGCUCGUAGGCGGUCUGUCGCGUCGGCUGUGAAAACUCGGGGCUCAACCCCGAGCCUGCAGUCGAUACGGGCAGACUAGAGUGCUGUAGGGGAGACUGGAAUUCCUGGUGUAGCGGUGAAAUGCGCAGAUAUCAGGAGGAACACCGGUGGCGAAGGCGCUCUGCUGGACCAUAACUGACACUCAGGGACGAAAGCUAGGGGAGCGAAUGGG